rnacentral:rRNA from 1 species
CCUACGGGGUGCAGCAGUGGGGAAUAUUGGGCAAUGGGCGCAAGCCUGACCCAGCAACGCCGCGUGAAGGAAGAAGGCUUUCGGGUUGUAAACUUCUUUUCUCAGGGACGAAGCAAGUGACGGUACCUGCGGAAUAAGCCACGGCUAACUACGUGCCAGCAGCCGCGGAAAUACGUAGGUGGCAAGCGUUAUCCGGAUUUACUGGGUGUAAAGGGCGUGUAGGCGGGACUGCAAGUCAGAUGUGAAAACCACGGGCUCAACCUGUGGCCUGCAUUUGAAACUGUAGUUCUUGAGUACUGGGGAGGAAGACGGAAGUCCGGGUGUAGCGGUGAAAGGCGUAGAUAUGAGGAGGAACACCAGUGGCGAAGGCGGUCUGCUGGACAGCAACGGACGCUGAGGCGCGAAGGCGUGGGGAGCAAACAGGAUUAGAUACCCAGUAGUC